rnacentral:lncRNA from 1 species
UGCACUGGGUAUUCCAUCUAAAAAUAAAUAAGGACUGGUUCUCUCUGCUUCUCUUCAGCAUCUUUAUGUGGAGUGCAAAUGAAGUCAUGACUGUUGUGCCAACAGGUGCUUUUGGUGGCUGUGAUUUCAUCGGCAGUCCCACAGCCUGGGACCGUGGCAGAAAACCAAUCUUUCUUCCUGUAUUGCUUGAAGCUGAUGUAGAUUCAACCUUGAUCAUCAACACCUGUCUUAAAUUGCAGGAAUCUCUUUGUGGAGGAGGAGGAAACAGGUUUUAUCACUGGUUUAUUGCCUUAGCUUCCCGAACUUGGGAGUGAGCUGUUUCACAGCUGUUGGCUUCUGGCAAUGGGAAACAUGCACAAAUCCAUGGCUCAAAAAAAAUCUGUUGAUCAAAAAAAAAAAAAAAGCAUGUUGAUAUGGGCUUCACCGUCCCUUGCUUUAGGGGUGAAGAUCACAUGAAGAACUGAGGCAAUUCUGCUUUUUUGUGUGCUUAGCCUCUGCACAUGUUUGAGGCUGAGUGAGCGAAUGGCAGACCCGUACAGCUCUGAUUGAUCACUGUAUCAAACCAUUGAACCUCAGGGGUGGAUACAGGUGCAUAACAGGAGACUGGAAAACCACGGACAGACCUGAGCCCAGCACAGGAAGAGAAAAGACAGAUGCAGAGGAUUGGCAAGAGGUCACGUUUUCCAGGCUUGUAAUGGAAAGCUGGAAGAAACAGAAAAGAAGUCGGAUAUUGGGAAACGUGUGAUGAGGUAUGUACACUGUAAGAAAAAUGAUGAAACCUGGUCAGCCCUCAGUUAUCUCCUGCUCCUGGAGACAGAAGGUUACCAAAAUCUUAAAUUCUUUUGCAAAGGAGUCUUUGAAAAAGGAACAGUGCGAAGAGAUUGCUCUGCCUGGCAAAAGCUCAUUUUGAAAGAAGGCUGAAACCUCAGUGAGUUAUGAGCCUGCUGAGAAAAUACCACCUCAGGAAAGGCUGGGCAGAAGACACUAAAAUUGAAUCUUGUCUGGAGUUUUGUGUGGACAUUGCUAUUGAGGGGACUCCAAGGAGGUGUUCUGAGUGUUACAGUGCAGACAGGGAGGAGCCUGGAGAGUGAGUUCACGCUCUUUAGUUUAGAAGAAAUGUCAUAGCGAAGAGUACUGAUGAUAUGUGAUGUUGUGCUCGCCCUGGGCGCAGUAACAGUUGCAAAGAUGGUAAAUAUGGUAAUGACCGCAGCCAGAGGUACUGGAAAAGGGUAAUAUCAGCCAUGUGUGAUUACACAGAAUAGUGGGCUUGAAGCUGGGAAAAAAAGCUUUGGCUGAGACGUGCCACACAUUGGAGGGAAGAGGGAGAACUGCUUGGCCGUUGAGAAAACCUCCGUGAAUUCAAUAGCAG